CCUGAAUUUAAGCAUAUAAAUUAGCGGAGGAAAAGAAACCAAAUGGGAUUCCCUUAGUAACUGCGAGUGAAAAGGGAUAAGCUCAUCGCAAAGGCCCAAUAUUUUUCAUAAUAUUGGGCGGUGCUGCGUAUAUAUUAAAACACAAAACAGUUAACAGUAUAGGUUUACAAAUCCCUCUGACAAGGGUAUCCUUCCAGAGCCGGUGCAAGGCCGUUAGUAAACUUUCUAUACAUGUUCUGUUUGUUUUUAAUAUAUAAGAGUCAGGUUGUUUGAAGGUGCAACCUAAAUAAAGAGGUAAACUCCUCUUAAGGCUAAAUAUUUUGGCAAUUCCGAUAGCAAACAAGUACCGUAAGGGAAAGUUGCAAAGAACUUUGAAGAGAGAGUUCAAAAGGACGUGAAACCGCUUGUAGGUAAACAGAUGAACCCACGAAGUGUAGCUGAGUAGUUGUAAAUUCAACCUUUUUAUAUUAGACAAUUUAAUUUUUAAUAAUUGGCUCUAACUAUUAAUUUAGAUCAAGAGGGCAUAAUAAUUAAAUUUUUAAUCGUUCUAAUAUAAGGGGUGCAAUUUCUCAACUCUCGUGCUCGAGCCUUAACCAAUAGAAGCCUUUAAAUUUAAGGUGUAAGUUGGCUUUGAUGUGAGCCUUAAAAAAGCUCAUUCAAUUAAUUCAAUCAGAUACCUACAUUAAAAUUUCAAAUUUUAAUGUAGAUUAAAUUGGAUUGUUGGAAAUCUUAGCUUAAACUCUAUUGGGAUAUUGAAAUUUAUGUAUAGCAUGAUAAAAAGUCAAAAGUUUAAUAAUAUUAUAUAUAUACCUCAAUGUAUUUAUUGUAGCAUAUAUGUUCGCAUAUAUGUUACUAUUUUGAGUAAACUUUGUAUCAUAUUUAGUGUGCUGCAAAGAGCUCAAAAUUAAAUACAUAAAUAGUAUUGAGAGUAUAUAAUAAUUUAUUAAAUUAAACUGAUUAUCUUUGCAAAUAUGUAAUCAUUUCAUUUAAGGUUAGUAGGUCGGUUAUUCAUCUGACCCGUCUUGAAACACGGACCAAGGAGUCUAACAUAUGUACAAGUGAAACAGUCUUGUAUAGGCUUGAUUUCGCUUAAUGAAAGUAAUAUAUUUAUAUUAAGUAUGAAUAUGAUAAACAUUUUAAUGUUAAUUGAAAAAUUUUUUAAAUUUGGAUAUUAACAUUAAAGUGAUCAUUUGAAUACUAGCCCGCUUUUAUACUUUAUUUAAGAUUAAAUAUUUUAUAUUUAUUCUUAAUAAGUUGAACGGAGCUUGAGUACAUACGUUGGUACCCGAAAGAUGGUGAACUAUGCCUGGGCUAGAUGAAGCCAGAGGAAACUCUGGUGGAAGUCUUUAGCGAUUCUGACGUGCAAAUCGAUCGUCAGACCUGGGUAUAGGGGCGAAAGACUAAUCGAACCAUCUAGUAGCNNNNNACUGGCGCUGUGGGAUGAACCAAACGUUGAGUUAAUGCGCUAAAAUAUAACGCUAAUGAGACACCAUGAAAGGUGUUGGUUGCUAAAGACAGCAGGACGGUGGCCAUGGAAGUUGGAAUCCGCUAAGGAGUGUGUAACAACUCACCUGCCGAAGCAACUAGCCCUGAAAAUGGAUGGCGCUUAAGCGUUAAGCACAUACUCAACCAUAAGGGCAAUCUUCAGCAAAAGUAAAGCUUUUAUGAGUAAGAAGGAUGCAGUAAUAGCGUAGAAGGGAUUAGACGUGAGUCUACCUGGAGCUGUUACUGUUACAGAUCUUGGUGGUAGUAGCAAAUACUCAAGUGAGAACCUUGAGGACCAAUGUGGAGCAGGGUUCCAUGUGAACAGUAGUUGAACAUGGGUCAGUCGAUCCUAAGAGAUGCGGAGAAGUCCGUACCAAAGUCCAAGAAUAAUCAAUAUAAAUUUGUAUUAUAAAUAUAAAAUGUAAAUAUUGCUCUCGUAUAUAUAUAUAAAUAUGUUUAUUGUCAAUACAGUAUCCUAUAUAUAUAUAUAUAUAUAAAGAGUGGAUAUAGACAUUUUAAAUAAUAAUUAAUAAUAGAUAAAAUAAAUAUAAUUAAUAAAAAUAAUAUUCGUAACGUCUAUUUAUUUUUAUUUUUUAUUAUAUAUUUUAUUUUAUUAUUAAAUAUUAUUUAAAAUUUAUAUUUUUUUACAUUCAUUUAUAUGUUUAUUCAUAGUUGAACUUGGUUAAUCUCAAAAGGGCAUUGGGUUAAUAUUCCCAAACCUAGACAGGGAAAUAGCCUUUUUAAGGCCGAUGCGGUAACGCAAACCUAUUCGGAGAUGUUGCUGUAAGUCCUGGGAAGAGUUUUCUUUUCUUUGUAAGGGUCCAAGUCCCUGGAAUCGGUUUGACCGGAGAUAGGGAUGAAGGAACCGUAAAGCACCGCGGCUCUUGCGGUGUCCAGAGUACUUAUGGCAGCCCUUGAAAAUCUGAAUAGGAGAGAUUAUUUUCCUGCUAGGCCGUACCCAUAUCCGCAGCAGGUCUCCAAGGUGAAGAGCCUCUGGCUAAUAGUAUAAUGUAAA
rnacentral:rRNA from 1 species